rnacentral:rRNA from 1 species
CCUACGGGAGGCAGCAGUGAGGAAUAUUGGUCAAUGGGCGGGAGCCUGAACCAGCCAAGUCGCGUGAGGGAAGACGGUCCUAUGGAUUGUAAACCUCUUUAGGCGGGGAGCAAUGCCGGGCACGCGUGCCCGGAGGGAGAGUACCCGCAGAAUAAGCAUCGGCUAACUCCGUGCCAGCAGCCGCGGUAGUACGGAGGAUCCGAGCGUUGUCCGGAUUUAUUGGGUUUAAAGGGGGCGUAGAUGGGUUGUUAAGUCAGUUGUGAAAGUUUGCGGCUCAACCGUAAAAUUGCAAUUGAUACUGGCAGCCUUGAGGAUAGUUGAGGAAGGUGGAAUUCGUGGUGUAGCGGUGAAAUGCAUAGAUAUCACGCAGAACCCCGAUGGCGAAGGCAGCAUGCCGGCUUCCGACUGACGCCGAAGCACGAAAGCGUGGGGAUCGAACAGGAUUAGAUAACCGGGUAGUC